CCUACGGGAGGCAGCAGUGGGGAAUAUUGCACAAUGGGGGAAACCCUGAUGCAGCGACGCCGCGUGAAGGAAGAAGUAUUUCGGUAUGUAAACUUCUAUCAGCAGGGAAGAAAAUGACGGUACCUGACCAAGAAGCCCCGGCUAACUACGUGCCAGCAGCCGCGGUAAUACGUAGGGGGCAAGCGUUAUCCGGAUUUACUGGGGGUAAAGGGAGCGUAGGCGGUGAGGCAAGUCAGAAGUGAAAGUCCGCAGCUCAACUGCGGGACUGCUUUUGAAACUGGAUGUCUAGAUUGCAGGAGAGGUAAGUGGAAUUCCGAGUGUAGCGGUGAAAUGCGUAGAUAUUAGGAAGAACACCAGUGGCGAAGGCGGCUUACUAGACUGUAACUGACGCUGAGGCUCGAAAGCGUGGGGAGCAAACAGGAUUAGAUACCCGGGUAGUC
rnacentral:rRNA from 1 species